UACGGGAGGCAGCAGUGAGGAAUAUUGCACAAUGGGCGCAAGCCUGAUGCAGCCAUGCCGCGUGUAUGAAGAAGGCCUUCGGGUUGUAAAGUACUUUCAGUCGUGAGGAAGGUGUUAAGGUUAAUAACCUUAGCAAUUGACGUUAGCGACAGAAGAAGCACCGGCUAACUCCGUGCCAGCAGCCGCGGUAAUACGGAGGGUGCGAGCGUUAAUCGGAAUUACUGGGCGUAAAGGGCACGCAGGCGGUUAAUUAAGUUGGAUGUGAAAUCCCCGGGCUUAACCUGGGAAUGGCAUUCAAGACUGGUUAGCUAGAGUCUUGUAGAGGGGGUAGAAUUCCAUGUGUAGCGGUGAAAUGCGUAGAGAUGUGGAGGAAUACCGGUGGCGAAGGCGGCCCCUGGGACAAGACUGACGCUCAUGUGCGAAAGCGUGGGGAGCAAACGAGGAUUAGGAUACC
rnacentral:rRNA from 1 species